rnacentral:pre_miRNA from 1 species
UCUUAAGGAUGAACAAAAAGAGUGCUUUCUUGAGAUGGAAUGUAUUCAUUGUGAAGAUACUGUGAU